rnacentral:lncRNA from 1 species
GGGGGCGGGCGGAGGCCGCUGGCUGAGCGAGCGGAGCUCCAGCGCCCCCGCCCCGCGCUCGCCGCAGCCCGCCCAGUCCUCCGCGCGGCCGCGCCCCUCCCCCGCCGCCGCGAACGCCUCUCUUUGUUGUCUAAUGCGGGACCGGCAGGCUCGGGACACUUGCUCGCACCCAUCAACCGAGGACAGAUGGUGGAGGCAGAGCUGUGCCUGCAGGUGACUGCAGACGUUCAGUGAAUCACACGUCUUAGCCACAUGAAGGAUCAGCUACAGCUCUGAGCCGAGGAGUGCACAGGAAGCUGCCUGCCCUGAGGGGCCCAAGUGCCCUGCGGCUCAGGUCGCCCUCCACAGACCAGAAGGCCUCAGCAAACCUGCAGAGAUCAGCGUGGUCUUCUGAAGACAUCCGUGGAGUCGAAGGCCCUCCUGCGAGGCCAGGAGGGUGAUGAUUAUGGUGAAGAGAGAGGCCUCAAACUAUUUUGCACACAUCUUGCUUACUUUUGCAAAGUGAAUAGCUGGCAAAAGAAACUAAAAUCCUCAUGGGAACACCAGCGCACCCUGUGUCAACUCGUUGAACAUUCCCCGAGCACCUGCACGCUGUGUCACAGGCACAGCAGAACGUGCUGAUGACACAGAAGUGGACGAGGCAGAAGGCGCCUUCCCCUGGAACCCUGGUCACGUCCAAACCCGGCCACACAGCAGGCUGAGUGCCCAAAGAGGGUCCUGGGAACAUUUCCCAGUCGUGCUUCCCAAGAAUGAGGAGUGAGAAUUAACUGAGCCCAGUGCCUAGCGUGGAAUCAGCAUCGUGUCUAGUAGGAACUCGGUGAGUGUUUAGUAAAUGAACCAGUGAGCCAGGUCAGAAAGGCUCGAGGUGCGGUUUUCUUAAGUCUUUACAUGAAUAACAGUCUCUGAGAAGUGGCUCAGAUGACUUCAGCCAUGAGGACAUGAUGCUGAGUAAUAAUAGUAACCCAGGUGACAUUUAUGAAGCACUCGCCUGCCGGGCAGUUUACCAAAUGCUUUAUGAGGCUGCAUCUCAUUCAGUUCUCUGAACUACUGAGGGAGGUGCUCCUGUUAGCCCCAUCUUACAGAGGAAAAUGAGGUGGGUCACUCGCCCAAGCCAAGGCAGCUGUGCCUUGAAGCAGGUGACACCAAGCUUUAGGGCCCCUCACUUGCACCGCAGUUUCAGGGCCCUGGGAGGGGUCCCGGCAGUUUAGUUACAGGACCACGUGUUUCAGUAAAAUUCUCAAGAGCAAGGUUUUUAUUCUUUUCCUUAGGGAGAACCCCCAAAAUGACAGAACCUUGAGGCCCAACAAAUCUUAGAUCCCCUGUUGUGUCCAAGGUCAUUCAGCUGGUGACUGACCCGGUCUGUGAUCUUCCCCAGCCCCGAGUUCUUCAGUCUCUGAGCUAUGAUCCUCGGCUGGAAGCUGGAAGCAUUUCCAGCCCUGCUUCUCCGCGGGGCUGUGAGCAAAGACUCGAAAGCACUUUCCUUCUUGAUGUCCUGUUGUGUUGUCUUUGCAUUGUUAACCUGUAUGUGACAUGUAACACAUAGAGCACACAUUUUUAAGACUAUUUUAAUAAUAUGGGAAAUGCUCUCCUUAUGUUUAGUGAACAAAAAAGGAGAUAAGGAGAGUGUGUGUGUCACUAAACACUCAGUAAGCAUUAGAAAAAGCAAACGGAGAGGUUAGAAAGAAAUCAAAAUUUUAACUAUGGUUAUUCUUUAAGUGGUGGAAUCACAAUUUUAUUUUCAUUUUACUUUUCUGUAUGUUUCAAGUUCUGACCAGACCUUUUUCUCAAUUUUUAAAAAUAAUACGUGCUUAGGUUAAAAAUUAAUGCUAAAAGGCUUAAUAAAAUAAAAAGCACCCCAUCCUUGCUGUAGGUA